UUGAGGCCGGCCGCUUGGUGGCGCCUGUGGCCGCAGGGAUUUGACUGGGCCUUCUCUAGCUUUCCCCGGUUUGCUGCACUUGACGCUGCAGGGCGGGCGGGGUAAAGAAGGGAGCGAGCCCUUCUCAAGCUUGGAAAGUUUCCAGACUGCUGGGCCAGCCUCCUCCCCAGAGGGAAACUGAGGUCCGAUUGAGGUUUCUCCAAGACCGCCCACUCCUGCUCCUGUCCCCAAACCCCUUUCUGCCUAGGGUUCCUGGAAGCCAAGGAAACAGAACGAACUGUUCCCUGGGUGGGCGAGCCACUGCAGAGUACAAAGCUUUCAGGCCGCCUGCCUCAUUAGCACUAAUGGCUGCUCCCUUCCGCCCUGUGUCGUCAGGACUGUCUAUGCCUGGUCUCAUCAGCACAAGGCUGGGUAACAGCUGAAGAAGUCCCAGGAGUCCUCCCAUGUCCUCUCAGCAACCCAGGCUGGAGCCUACUCCUUGGUGUUGGCAAAGGAAACCGUCUUUGAAGAGCCCCAGUGAGUCCCUGCUCUGCAAUGCUCAUACCCAUUGUGCUGUUACUGCAAGUCAAUGAGAACGUUGGUGGACUUCUCUCCACUUCACAGAAGAAUGAAUGGAGGCCCAGAACAAUGGCAUGAACCUGUCGUUUCUUGGCCUUUUGGCUAAGAUCAAGUGCAAUGGCAUGAACCUGACCAUAGUCGUAGACAAACAAGAGGCAGAGACAUUGUCUUAGUUUGAGUUCCCACUUCAGAAAACCUUGAGACAAACAUUGUAGCACAGGAAGUUUAUUAAGAGGAUACAAGCCAGGCAUGGUGGCUCACGCCUGUAAUCCCAACACUUUGGGAGGCCAGGGUGGACAGAUUGCCUGAGCC
rnacentral:lncRNA from 1 species